AUUGAACGCUGGCGGCAUGCCUUACACAUGCAAGUCGAACGGUAACGCGGGGCAACCUGGCGACGAGUGGCGAACGGGUGAGUAAUGUAUCGGAACGUGCCCAGUUGUGGGGGAUAACUGCUCGAAAGAGCAGCUAAUACCGCAUACGACCUGAGGGUGAAAGCGGGGGAUCGCAAGACCUCGCGCAAUUGGAGCGGCCGAUAUCAGAUUAGGUAGUUGGUGGGGUAAAGGCCCACCAAGCCAACGAUCUGUAGCUGGUCUGAGAGGACGACCAGCCACACUGGGACUGAGACACGGCCCAGACUCCUACGGGAGGAAGCAGUGGGGAAGUUUGGACAAUGGACGCAAGUCUGAUCCAGCCAUGCCGCGUGCGGGAAGAAGGCCUUCGGGUUGUGAACCGCUUUUGUCAGGGAAGAAAAGGGCGACUCUAAUACAGUUGCCUCAUGACGGUACCUGAAGAAUAAGCACCGGCUAACUACGUGCCAGCCGCCGCAGUAACAC
rnacentral:rRNA from 1 species